rnacentral:lncRNA from 1 species
GACAAAAGGCCUGUUCUGUUCAGAUCGUUUCCCUCCUUUCAGUUGUGCUUGUCCCCAUGUGUAGGAAAUUUGGCAAUGUAAGAAGGUUCUGUGACGCCGAAAAGAAAUGUAAUUUACCUCUCUUGUGAAGCUAUCCAAUUCCUGCAGGACCCCAAAAGUAUAGUUUGGCCGUGAGCUUAUAUUUGUAUACUCCAUCCGUAUUCAGCAGGGAACACGCAAAGUGUUACGAAUUAGGCACCACGUUUUACUCAAAACCAAGGCAAAAGAUGUGUCAACUGCAAAUCAGCGUACGGAAGCCAAUGUUCCAAGCCAAGUUUGCUGGUGCACUGUGGUGGAGCGCAUGGUUAUGGAACACUUGGCAAGUGGUUAAACUUGUUUGAAUUGCCUACAACCCCUUCAAUACAGUGUCACAACAGAUGUUCAUAGAAAUGUUCAUGCUGCCUCAACGAAACAGUACCGAAAAAGAAACGAGGGGCAAAGCUACUUUUUGCAACUUCGCAGGUUGACACUGGAUAAACUUCUCUUUAUUUUUUUUUAUCAAGUCAGUUGCGCCUGGAGCAGCUGCUGUUCCUCAUGGCCACUCGAAAGACAGAGGAGAAACGGUUUUAAAAACAGUUUGCUUGUACAACACAACUGUGCUCCCCGCCUUGCCCUUUUGUUCAAACAUAUCAAGCUGCCAAACCUUACUAGUUUCACUGAUAGCGCCCUCCACUAUUUUUACAUACCAAACAUAUAUCAAAUGUCCCUUUAUUUCCCCCCUCUGAGCACAUGUCAACUCUGAAUAAUUUCCUCCAAAAAGGCUUUCACAUUGUGAGAAAUUUGGAUUAUAUUCAUUGAAUUACCGGGGGGAGGUCAAUUAACUUCGCUGAUCCUCCUCAAUCACGCGCAUGUAGGCGUCCGCUGAAAGACCUGACGAACGGCUACCAAACUAACAAGGCAGGAGAGUCAGCAGCUAGUGUCCGUCCCUUUCCCAGUGCUUGACACAUUUUUCUGAACCCUUGUACCCACCGCAAAUGAAAAUCCAGUUCUUCCCCGGUCAGGAGGACUCCAAAGUGCAUUCUCCCCGGUAUGGUAUCUUCAGGUGGACCUACUGUUCAUGCACGUCGACCGGUGGCUCGCCCGCCGGUGCGCUCGCCGAUCCGUCUCCCCGCCGGCCCGCCGUGAGUGCGGAUUGGAAAUUGGAAUUCGAUGUCGCAGGCCGGCCGCGGAUAAGCCUCCCGUCGUCCGCAACUUGUAGCUGGCACGACGAAACAAAAGCGUGUCUCUACGUUGAGCCCUGCAACGCAAUGUAGCUGUCGAUGGAUCGAUGAGCUGAGGUGAAGCUGCGACCGUCCAUCCACCAGCUGAGACUGAGAUCUUCAUGUACGUAACGGCUCGGGAGUCAGCACGACAGAACGUACGUAGCUAGACGCGUUGCUUGGCGCGCUUGGCUUCUUCUCUCUUCACGGGUCACUGUGCUGUCAGCUACUAGUAGCAGCUACGUGGUGUUUGACCGUGAACAGGGAGGUAUCUAGCCUGUCCCUGCCUACUACUGGCUGGAUGGCUAAUGCUGCUAGCUCACUGCUCGAUCGCUCGAUCGCUUAAUAAUUGGCAUUUGACAAGUGGAGCGUGUACGUUGACCGGCAGCUCAGGAGGAUUAGGUAGCAUGGCAUAACAUGACAGUACAAUGCACCAUGCGAAAGGGCAUGUAUAAGUUUUGUUUAUACAAAAUGAUGGGAUACGGUGGCCUUUGCAAGUACUAACAUAUCACAGUCUCUGAACACUUUUGAACUGCGCGCUCUUUUCCUCUUUCUUGCUCCGUUUCAGCAUGCUCGGUAAUUGAUUAGCAGAUCAAGAAGACUCGAAAAGCUAAGGGCGACGACGCCGGGAGUCAGUACCGCUGCCGAAUUCCGACGAGGUGAAACCGGUGCGGCCAGACACGUGGUAAUACGUGUUGAGAAACUGAUCGAUCUCGAGAGGCCGAUCGAUCGAGUUGAACAACACGUACACGAAGUCCGCGCGCUGCGAGAUAGAAUAAACGGGUUCUUUUUGGACCCUUUAUUUCGUGAUCGACCGCGCCUUUUGAACUCAAAAUGUCAAACAGCAUACGGGGCAGGGGAGGGCGGGCGGCAGCGGCGGACCCGUCGCCGUCGAUGGCUUUCUGCCUCCACUGACCGGUACAGAUACAGCCGGAUCGUAGCUAGAUGGAUAUCCGGAUGAUAGGCGACGCGCGCGUACGCCGCACGCGCCCACAACCAGCGCCCAGCGAGCCGCCACAUCUCGGCCGGAGACGAGCACCAGGACGUACCCGGCCCGGUGCGCUACUUGUGGCGGUAGACGUGACACGCGAACCAACAUGGACGCGAGCGUCCGUACGUACAUAACGUACACAAGCCACGCACCUUACGUACAGGUAAUAAGUUGGUGGCGACCCACGAUGGAGUUCGAUCACGGCGAAGGAGUGGUGUGUGGAGACCGAUCGGUCGAUUGAGCUCUCGUUCCGCACAUGGAGAUCGAUCGAGCACGUACGCAGCAGAGAUGAGGAAGAAGAAGAAGAAGCGUGGCUGGCAAGUAGCAGCAGCUUCGAUAGAUGGAACGUGCCGUACUGCCGUGCCGCCUUGCUUUCUAACCAUCUAGCUUACUCCCGCUGACCGGAUGACGCGUCGUGCACUACCGGGGCGCUGCGCGUGCACGGGUGAUCAAGAGGCGCGCAACUGGAUCGAUAGGCAGGGUGAUCCGUCAGAUCACACCGUACACGUCCGUGCGCGGGUCGGCGUACGACGGCUAGCUGAUCGCAACGCGGCCACGCGCCCGGCCUCGAGCGCUCGCCCCCGCGUACGCGAGAGCACGACCGCGCGUCCGCUCUGCAAGUUCCGGCAGAAAGUUCAGUUCGGCGUGGUCCUGGGAAAUCCCAGCCGAGAUCCGCCGAGUAAGCCGCCGGCAGACGACGUACGGGGCUACUAGCUAGCUAGCUAUAGUGCAGUAGUGCACUAUAGUGCCCGCGCACACGCGCAGACGGCGCGAGCGCUAGUGCAUGGCGCACGAGAGCGACACGAGCAGGCGAGCGAGCGCAGGAGUAUCGAUCGGACACGGUUCCGCUGCGUGCUCCAGGCCGUGUGCCUCUGCACUUUGCUGCUGGCCGCUCCACUAUGCAUGCGGCCGUCCAGAGAUUAAACGGCUUCUAGCCUCAGCCAUAGGCGAACAGUGGCGGCAGUAACAGCUAGCAUAACACUACUAGCUAGCUAGGACGAACGCUAAGCAACAAGAGCUAGCUUGUUGUGGAGUGCCAGUAAUGGUGGUGAUAGCUCCGGCCGGGCCGUAGUGACACACUGACACUAGCUAGUGGUGGUGGUGCAUCAAGAUAUGGGGGUGGGUCUUUUGUGUGUUGCGCCCCGGAAAAGCGGCUGGGGGUUGACGCCUACGUGCACUGCCCCCGGCCGUGCCCCGCCCGGGGCGGGCCGCGGGCGCAGCCGGCCGGCCCAGGACGUCGCGGUCGCCCUCCGCUUUCUUGCAGGUAGAGCCUGGUCGAGAGGCCAGGCGCGCGGCGACAGCGGCAAGCACACGACGGCGACGCACACGCACGUCUUAUCCCCAGUGCAGUGCAGUGCAAAGCCCCGGGCGGGCAACCUAGCAGCUGCUGCUGCGUGCUGCCUACAUGCCGGGGCCGGCCGGGCAUCGCCGGCUAUGUGGCCAAUGUGCUCUGUACCCAUCACCCGCUCAACUUUCCCGCGACGUUAAUAUAUUCCUCAGGCCACUGCUUUUGGUACGUGGCUCGACCGAUCAAUCGGUGCCCUGGCUUUACAGUAGGUAGAUAGAUAGGUCCCCUGUUCCAUCUCUCUGCUGCGUGCUGCAUGCUUGGCUUCUCGAUCGAUCGGCCGGCGGCUUUGCAUCUAUAGCAUCCUAGCUUGUCCGAUACUGAACCCUAAUUAGCUGCUGCUAGUGACCAGGGCUUGAUCCGUUGUGUCAUGAGUGACGGCAACCGGAUUUCGCGUAAGCGGAUAAGGCACAGCGCGCGGCAGGGGGAGGGGGGCUAGCUAGCUGCUCAAGUGAGACACCGGCUGCUAGCUAGUGUUCAGCUGCCCAGUUUUAUCCUGUUUACUCUGCCACCGCUGCACUGAUGAUCAAGAUAUUUUGUAUACAUGCAUUCAUGUAGUAGUAUAGUAUGGCACUUUGGGAGAUAUUUGUACGCGUGCUGCGGCACUUUUACAGAUAUUUGUACAUGUUGCGCGACAAAAGCGAGCGUAUCAAACUGUUGACGGAGCUCUCGGGACGCCUAAUUAGUGAUCUUAACUGUUUGAUAGCUAUGCUCAGAAUCGCAUUUGCAUGCUCGGAGUUUGAUCAAGGAACACUAGCAGCUAGCCCUCUCGGAAGAAGCAUUUGUAGUGAUGUGUGAUUGGAGGAUGAUGAUUGAUGGUCGUGUUCCUCGAUCUCUCGUCGUGCAUGCAGUUGGGCACCUCAGAAGGUUGAGGUUAUCGCACUUUAGGCUGUGUGAUGAUAUUUCUGAUAUGAAGCAUCGAACCCAUCCUAGCUCAUUGCUACGCAUAAUUGACGCAACAUGCAUGAUGCAUCAAGGUAGAUGCUAAUAUUAAUUUUUCUUCUUCCUGCAUGUUUGUUCAGCCCACACUUUGCGUGGCCAUUUGCGUAGUGGAACUUGCAACUCUAUCUCCAAUAAUCCUUAUGCAACUGUACAAGAGCUUAACCCCAUCCGGACUCAAAAGUUUCAGCUUCCGAUGUAUAACUUCACCGUACCAUACCAUGUGUAUAUAUGCUUCUGACAGAGGAGCUUUUACUUUAAUUUUUAUAUAAAAAAGAAGGAUAGAAAAAAUCACUUAAGCCCCCUUGGAAAAUUAGAACCUUACGUCAGGAGGGAGGGUUUUUUUUUUUGCGAAUGAAAGGAGAGAAGAUUUGACCCUGCAGGCUACGUUUGCAAACUUUUCUGAAUGCUUCCAAGGAAUGAAAGGGGAAUAUAAUGGCGUCAGUGUUUGCUUAGAUAGAUAGGAGUAGGUCGAAGAAAUUUAAUCCUCCCAUCCCUUCUCUCAUCCUGAGAUAAUGUAUCUAAAUAACUGCUGCUAUUACCAUUGAACAUUGGCCGGGUGAUUCUUAAUCGCCAGUCAGUUAUCGUAGCUUGUUGUAUGCACUGUCGAGUUUGACCAGAGUGAUGCCAGCAGUUGGGCCUGGCAUAUACGCAGCAUGCUAUACGGCCUCCAGUCAAAGCUUGAUCACCUCACCCAAGCGAAGCGAGCUGAGUUAAUAGCAUUCCCUCUAACCCACUAAUCAACGAAGCUGCGACUAAUAAUAUCGCUUGCUAGUGUUUUACUGGCUAGCUAGUCUUUGUAACUUGACACUUCUAGAAAUUUUUACCUUCUUCGGUAUACUUUGAUCGGCCUGAAGAGGACUAGUCAGCCUGAUGCCCUGUUGUACCAACUAGGUUUUGUCUCAACUUAGAAAACAAAGGGAAUGUUCAUGCGAGUCAAAUCAAUUUCAGCGAAAUCUCUAAGGCAUAUUCAACCUGUAAAUCUUGUGCUUCGAUCAGUCCAAAAAAGAUGGACACCAAUCAAUUUCAACGAAAUCGUUAACAUUCAACAUGUAAAUCUCUUCUGUACUACCGAUCAGGGAUGUCCAUUUCAUACCGACAUGGCGGUCUCCAGUUUGACCAUAGUAGUAAUUUUCUAGUGGUCAGGAAUUAUUGUAAAAGUACGGUUGUCAUGGCAAUCUUCAUGCAUGUCUUCCUAAUUAAAAACAUCGGCCGAUAUUGCGCUAUGCAUACAGAUGUUACAGAUCCAGCAUAUUUACUAAUCUAGUUUUUCUUCCUCUCGGGGCAUCAUUUUCUCCAUGGAGAGAAACAAACUGAAGACCUGAAGUGCCAACAAACGCCAUGCAUGAUUAUUCUACAACAGUUGAUGAGUAAGCAGAAGCUGAGAUUGAGCUGGGAAGUAGGCACUUGGUUGGUUAUUAUGCGGAAUUCUGACCUGACCUUCUAGAAACCCCUGCAUGCUUCCAACAUGCCUCCAUUUUUCUUGACCCACUUGCAUUGACACAAACACUCUCGAAAGAGCUUAAAACCGGCGCAUGAUUGAGCAUCAAAUCAAGCAAAAGAAAACCAAAGCGUCAGCCGUGUUUUGUACUUUGCAGCACCAUCCAUCAGCUCAUCACAGCUAGCUGCUGGCACCUAACUCUCCUCCCCGUCCCAAACCCAAAGUCAGCACUCCGCCCCUGUGCCAGUGCUCACUGUGGGCCCCACAUGCAGCCCUAACAUUUGUCCCUGUCUCCAUGAACCCAAUUUUUUUUUAAAAAAAAGGUCCAACAUGGCAUCGAUUAAUUUUGACCCUCGUGGCUUUGGAUAACCGCUCGCGUUUGACCGGUGGUCUCUUGGGACUUGGAAAUUUCCCGGCCGGGCCACCGAUCGACCAGGGUCUGCAGGUCCCAGCUGCGGGCCCGCCGUCCGGUCCGAAAGCUGCGUCAGGUUGGUAGUAUACGUGCGACGACGCCGACGCCGACGAGACGAGUAUUGAAACAAGCAAGGGUCCAGUCGCUCAUGACGCUACGCAUUUGAAGGGUCUAAAGAUUAGUGCCGCUAGUGGCAGUAUACUUAGCGCAAAGCAGGUCUGGUCAAAGACGCCUUGGCUCUGAGCCAGCGAGCAAUUAGCAGACCACAGUGCAUUAGCCGACGUUGAUUCUUCAUUACGCGCAUAAUCAGUGGACAGUUCAUGCAUGCGUAGCACGAAAAUGUUCAUCAUUUGUAAGACCUAGCGCAUAAAUCAGAAGUGGAUGUGGGGCCAGCUAGUUGAAUAUGUAUCUUAUCACUUCUUCAGUCGUUGACACGUUUAAAUUAAACACUUUGGACUCAUGGCAUAUGUUUUUGUCUCAUAUAUGAGCAUAGUUAUGGUGCGCCACAUUUGCCGAAGAUGAGCCACGUGAUGAGUUUUUCCUACAUUCAUUUGCUUAAUUUGUGGUGAGACAUUUUUCGCCUUAUUAAAUACUGUAGUUUAUAUGCUUAUUAAUGCGAAAGUUUUGAGUGCCCCAAAUUAAAUAAAAUGUUCACUAUCAAACUAAUGUCCUGUUUGGAUCCACCCAACUCUUUAGAAACUUUCUUUUAUCUAGCUAAAAUUUAGCUAGGGGUGUUUGGGUCCAUGGGUGUUUGGAUCCACUAGCUAAAUGAUAGCUUGAAGAGGUAUUUUUUAUCCUACCACUCCCUGCUACUUUAGAAACUUUCCCCGAGGAAUAUGGAGGAGCAAUUUGAUCUUUUACCAGUUUAGCUAGGUUCAACCAGCUAAAAAUUUUAGCCAGCUAAACUUAUCUGGGUUCUGUUUGAUCCAUAUCAGCUAAAUUUUAGCUAGUGGAUCUAAACAUGGCCUGAGAAAGACAACUGCAGAACAAAAACUGAUAUUAUUCAUGUGGCUGCCAUGUGGGCCCGCCUUCUACGGUUUUCGUUAUGGGCUCCACUUGCCAGCGACUCACGGACGGAACACACUUUGACAUGUUCAAAAGUCGCGUAAAGAAACGUUCACACGCGCGCAUAGCCGCCGGCGUCUCUCCCGGCCGAGGAGUGCUCACGCGUUCGACGAGGCUUUGAUCGUCGUCGUUGUCCGUCCGCUGCACGCGCGCGCACCAUGAGAACAGUGCGCUUCUAGAAUUCAUAGACCUAGUCACUCGUGCCCUUGCUUAAAUCUUAAUAAUAACUCAUAUUGCUCGGUGAUGAUCAGCGAUCACUUAAUUUGAUGCGAGAGUAGGGACCAUGGCAGCCAUUUGCAGACGACAUAUACUUGGGCACUUGGCAGAAAUAUUUUAGAGGCAAAUCGUACUAAGAAGCAGGUGAAGUACUCGGCAAUGGCGUGGCAAGCAUUAGCCUGUGUGCAUUGUGAGCCCUAAAAUAUUGAGGAGCAUUAGCAUGCAUAUAGCAUCUAAUUAAAGCCCUAACUAUAAAUUAUUUAAGGAGCUAGCUAGAUGUGGUGCUCGAUCAUGAUAGGGAAUCAACAAAGUUGGUGCUGAGAAUUACUAGUACUACUGUACUACAUGGAUCAUCUCUUUCUACGGUGAAGUUGACGCCCUAUAAAACAACAAUAUCGGUUACCUUGUAGGAGGAUGCAAAAUAUCCUUUGGUAGUUGGUAACUUUGUUGAAAGGCUGUAAUUUUCAGUUAUGCGGAUAGAAUGAUAAUCAAGCUAGCUUGACAACGAGUGCAGGGGACUUUGUAUUGGUGGCAUCCUUUUCCUAUGGCAUUGUUGGCUACAUGGCUCCGAUCUAUUUUAGUUAAUUAUCUCACCAGGUUAGGGGAAACCCACACUUGCCUAUAUAGCAUAAUAAUAAGAAUUCAACUGUGCAUUUGGUAACUCUAAUAAUGAUGCUUACUAGUAGUACUAGAAUUCAAUUCCGGUGUGCGUGUGUAAUAAUGAUGUGAAUCGUAGUGUACAUCCAGAUCCGGAUGUUCCUGGCUAAUCGAUGAAAUAAUAUCUCUAUCACAUUCAGCUAGAACUAUUUAAAGUUAACUCAUGUAUAUUAAUAUACAUUUUGUUUGGAUGUGAAUUCUUCAAUACAGUGUCAAUUAAAGAGUUCAUCAAAGACUUGUUUAGGGAAGACCUUUAUAAAACUUUUUGUCACUAUGCUAAUAGCCACCUCUUUGAUUCCAGUAUUAUUUUAUAUAUCGUGCUGACUUGUCGUCAUGUACGUAGUGAUUAUUGUUCACAGUGUUGUAUUAUUGUACGGUCCUUGAUGGACACUACUGCUACAAAAGAUGUGUCCCAAUUGGAGUUCUUAAUCAUGAACACCAUCAGCACACGAACUGUCCAGUACUUUCUAAGUUUGCCGCAUUUAGUAGACCUUUGCAUACGGAGCUGUUUAAAAAAAUCAUCUCAGAUUAGUAUACUAGCUAAAUAAUGCUAAUACUUUUGUACCUACACAAACUUUCUUUUGCCAGUUAAUGUUGAUUACUAUAGAAUCCCCAAUCAUUAUACACCUCAAGCAGUUUAGUUCAUUGCUUGGGGGAAAAGAACCAUCCAGAUGCUUCAUCCAAAGCACGGCCAAUCCAACCACAUGUUGCAAAAAAUUUUCUUGUUUAUCUGGGCUUGGUACUCAUGAUAAGAGAAGCCCUUAUUUUCUAUGCUUGCUUUAGUUACCAUCGGAACCAACAGUGGUAGGACAGUACUGUUGGUAAAAAGUAGCUACGGACAGCAAGUUCCAUGCAAAAUGCGAAGUUCACUCCAGCUUUGUGAUUGUUAAAGGUAAGACAGCUUGAUGGAGCAAUUUAGUACGCAAGCUGCAGCAUAAAAGUCAUUGCACCACGCUCUUAUUCUUCCGUUUAGUAAUUCUUUUGGCCGAUGCUCUGAUGAUUCUGGCACAUUGCAACGGCAGCAGCAGCACAAGGCUCUAAACAAGUGUGCUCAAGUGUGCACAAAACAAAGCGCAAGUCCAUUUCCACAUCACCAAAGCAGUGUUGUAAAGCUUGGAAUAUGUUCUAUACUGACUUUGAUAUGGAACUUCUAGAUUUCAACAAAGUCGUUGCAUAUAUAUUUUGCUACCGCUAGACGCGGGCGACGCGGUUGGUUAGUUUCACUGCAAUGUUAUAAAAUGCUCAAAUCAAGAACCUAGCUAGCAAAACAAGAAAGAGAAAGAGAAAGAGAAAGAAAAAGAAAAGGCUAUGAUGAUCAGCUUUGUUGGUGUUUCACUAUACGUCAACUUGGGACAUGGGCAGAACAGCCAUCUUGAUGCCCAUAUAGAGGCUCUUUUCUAAAAGCUAUUGUCCUACCAUUUGAUGUUAAGCAUAUCAAACAAGUGGUGCUUGCUUUAAGGGACAUAUUCUUGAGCUGUCCUUAAGCCCGGGGAUGUUCGUUUCAUUUAGAUUUCUUUUUGUUUCUAUCAACCUUAUUUCAGCAUCCAUAAAGCAAUACCUAGCUAUGUAUGUAGUGCCCCGAUUUGGGCUUUUUUGCACCUAGCUUAAUCAUGAUGUGAACAUCUAUAUGCGUUUUUUUAAAAAAGAAAUGCACACAUUCUUACUCUUGCUCUCCUGAAUGUUCCUCUCCGCGUUAAUUCUCACAUGCAUGAUGAUGAGCUAGAAGAACGAUAAAUCAUAGAGAUUCUAAAAAAAAUCUAAAAUAUUACCAUCAUUUGUUGGAAUCAAUCAAAACCAUUGGAUCUAAAUUGUUUUAAUUUACCACCUCUGUAUUAAAAAAGUAACCCAAAAGGUUCAAAAUAACUACUUAUGAAUUACCUACCUUUGUCAUUAGAAUAAAAUAACAAAAAAACCGUAAUACCUCUUCUAAAUUACCCAUCGCCAUUAUGAAAAAUUAACAAGUUAUUAUAUACCCAUUUUCACCAUUUUCAAUCAUCUGCCCAUUUUCACUAGAGAUGUUCCAAUAUUAUAACAUCUCCAUGUGACCAUGUCAGUCUAACUACUUUGUCUUGAUCAGCCGCCUCCAGGAUUGGAACACGUAAAGUACUUGGCCGAAACUACCUGAAACAAGUUAUUAUACUGAUAGCUUUUGCACCCUGAGCCCUUUGAAGCCUACAAAUACUGACCCACAUCUCUAGUGCUCCCCUGAUCGAACAUUAACACGCUUAUGCAUUCACUUUUCCACUCACACAUCACACACUAAACCUAUGUGUCUCCCACUCAGCCAUUAGUGUUUUGUUGCACUAAAAUAUUUGCAACGGCGAUGGAAAGCCAUGCAACCAUCCCUAUUUUACGCAUCGCCGACGUGAUCGUGUCUGAUUUAUACGAGGCCAAGAUGAUCAAUUGUUUUUUUUUUGUUUGCGUGUGGUGCGCCUUUUUGCGAGUACUUGGAUUCGAAAACGUGCAUCGCGAUUGAUAUGGAAGGUUAAAUUUACUUAGGUUUUUGAUAUGGUGGUAGGAGUACUUUAUUAGUAAUAGCUUCCCCUGUCCUAUUCUAUCGCCAUUGCCCCUCUUUGGAGGGCUCUUAGGAGACAAGAGCUGCCUCCUUGUCGAUGGAACAAGAGCUAGCUAGGUUCUGCAAAGGACAGGCCAUACGUGAUACGCUCCUUAUUUUUUUAGCAGCAAAAGUUUCAGAGCUGUGAACAUUAUGGAGAUUAAUGGAAUAUAUGUAUUUGUCGCAUCCAUUAAAAGUGUGGAUAUUUGGUGAGAUCAAAUUUUACGAAUACUCCACUAGCAUCCUUCGGGUGGUUUUGUUUAAUGCUUAAGACAGUUCAGUAGUUCACUAUACUUACUCUCGCCAAUUGUUCAUUGUUUUGUCACCAGAGGUUGCAAAAAUCAUAGAUUCUAAGUCAGGGUUGGUGGUCUUUAGGUAGGAUCCCAAUCAUAGGAUCGCAAAUAUAAAAACUGUAGAAACGUAGAUUCUACUAGAAUCGUAGAAUUAGAUCCCUUUAACUCAUAUCUUAAAGUCGUAAAAUUAUAUGACAAAAUCAAAAUUUUGACAACCAUGCAUCACUGGCGUCAUGACCCCUUCAAUCACCAAUGGCUCGUACCGCUUCAUUGCGUACGUCUAUCUCAAUCACUCUAUGUGUUGCGUAUCGCUUCAUUGUUCAUGAAUAUCAUGGGCUCUUUUUUACUGUUUAAUUCAUGUAAAAAGUUCUGUGUGUCCUAUCCUUAAGAUGACAUUUAUUUAGAGAAAACAGGGGAAAUACUGAAUUUAAACAUUGAUCCUCAAUGCAUAGACAGAUCAAUCAAAUUUGUUUCAGGAGAGCAUCGAAGCACUUGUCCAGACCGAAUUAGAGAACUUAGGCACGGUGAUAAUCAUUUCAGGUGUGAUUUAACUAACCACACUAACGCAUGCAUAAUGAUUAACUGACGCUUUUCUCCUCCCAAACGCAGACUUUGCACGUGACCUUAUACAUACAUACACAUCAAACGAAUGUUUCACCAUCGUGCGCAUAACGUGUGGACGGUCCUCCGCCUCUUAUUACUACCAGUACUGCGUACUUAUCCUCGACAAGUCGUGGAAACCCACCCAUCAUCUCCGUGCGUCCUCGUACGAACGAUGACAGGCCAGAUAGCGAACAAAACCACCACUCAAACCAUCAUCGAUCCCAUCAGCUAAACGUGCCACGCCGGAGCGGCGGACCGGAACGAUGACCCGCCGGCGGUUUUCCAAACGCUGGAGCCAAAAAGGAGCUCAAAACCACGUACCCCACCGCGCGGGGGCAUGGGAAGCCUACCCCCCGGAUCGGACACGGGUGGGUUCCGCUUCCGUGCAUCGCGGUGGUGGGGGAUGUUGGUGUCACGUCCCGGUUCGCGGCUGGUGGUGGAGUUUUUCCUGCGCCCGUACGUUUGCCCGCACCACGCCCAGGCUGGUAAGUGUACUGUUGCGCAAUAGUAGGCGAUGAAGGAUGUUUUUCAUGGUCGAAUAGGAAUUAGGAGCGUGCGAUCGAACUAUCGCAUUGCAAUUUGAGAAGUACUCUUCACGUACGUCACUAAAUACAGGCUGGCGUGCCGUAUACCUAAAACUAGAAUGUCGAAAACUUUGACUAGUAACGAUAUUUUAAAGAGUACAUGGAUAUAUAAAUAUAUUUAUUUUGGCAAAUAUUUCUAAUAAAUAAAUUACCAUUAUAGUUCAAAGAGUUUCCAAUACUAAUAAUGUGUGUUUGUGUACUCUAAAUUAAUUGGUGGACACUAAUGCUGAGUCUAGAACUCGGAUCGUCCUAGCGGGCUUGUGUGUGUUUGGAAUGAAGAUAUUGUGGAUCUUGGGUGCUAUUCACUUGGUCUGUAGGGUUUUCUGUGAAAGAACUUGUAAUUGGAGAAGUACAUGAUAUAAUCUGGGCUUCAGGCCCCUUUGGGGAAAAAAACACAAUAGUAACAAUAGCAUUAUAUAUGUUCAUACAAUAUGACAAAAUUAAACAUUUGGAAUAAAAAUUGAGAGAAAUCAAAACUAACUAAACAUAGCACUAUGGUUUGUAUCUAUAUUUAAAAAAUCAAAGUGCCAAAUAUUUUACACAGAACAAUCUCAAGACUAGCAAAUUCCACUUUCUUUAAAGAAAAAAGAAGAGGUAGGGACUUAUGGGUAGUUUUCUUAUAUUUUUUUUGUGAGGGUAUCUAGAGUAUGUUUUUUUAAGGGAAAAGCUAAUGGAUGUUCGAAUGUUUCAGACUCUACAGAAUUGGCUCAUGAUUGGUGCUUCUUAUUCUCCUCCAGAGUCCCCAACUAGUCUCCAAUGAGCUGGUUAGGUUUUUGAAUUUGGGGCUGGCGUCUCCUCGGGAGGCAGAGGUGGCGCCCUAUAAAAGGAAUACGGUAAGAGUAUGCGGUUGGGGGAAAGCCAAAAGAUAAGGUUGGUACAGGCAGGAUAGGAUCUUACCCAAGCUUCAUGUUCACGGGCCGUCUUUAUGAAGUCAUGGAGACCCUACCGCGGUGGCAUGUGGACAGUGGUGUUCACUUCUGCUACUAUUGUGACUGUCAUUGCACAGCCAAACUGCACAGUUGAUCGGUUGUACAAUUUGAGCACGUAUGAGUAUUUGUAAAAAAUUUGACUGCCGGCUAACUACAGUUGAGCUGCCGUGGCAGUAGCGGGUUCCUAACUACUGCAGCUGCAGCUAGCUCAACUGAACAUGCUGAAGGUCUAAUAAGAUGAGUUGCUGCAAUGAUGGAGGAAGACGAGGAAGCACAAUCGUUGGAUCCUCAUCAAAGGAAUGAAAACUCGUGCGCUGUUGGACGCUAUUUUUUUUUUAAAAAAAAGACCUAGAGUACGGUCAUACAAGAACAAACUGCAAAAUGCGCAACAUUCAGUGUACCGAUCAAUGGUCACGGGAUGUUGUACGCAUCUGCGGUUGAGCUCGCAUGAAGACAGCGAUCGACGACAUGCAUCUCUGGCAUAGAAUGGAGGCACACCGCAAGAGCUGCAAGUGGCUGCGGCCUCAGCCGCAGUUGGGAGUCAACGGGCACGCCCGUCCAACUCAGCUAACACUUUGACCUUCAUUUGCACGACGCUAGCCAACAAGCACAGCUCCGCAACUACGAAACCCGGCCAAGCUGGCCACGAAUCCAACCAAACCGUGGACUCCCUCUGACCGCAUCCGGUUUGUUUAAACCCCCCAAUACACAAUCCCAAUUCAGAUCACGCACAAAUCCAAAAUCCAGAGCAACAAUACAAAACUGCUGCGCUGACGAACGUAAGAGCAGCCUGCCUGGACGACUCCAAAUAAUCCAGAUCAACGAUACAAUACUGCAGCAGCAGCCUGUCAUCCGAGCAGAACUGAAGUAUCAAAUCGAGUAAUAAACCAUAAGGAUUAGACCAGUACCAAGCUGCAGAGAUAUCAUACCGGCGAAGAAAUAAUGAGUACCCCCCGGCAUGUGUUGAAAACCGGCGCAUAAGAAUCCAGCCGAAGUGCCGAGAUUUUCAACCCCGGCGUGGAAUCUGACCACACCGCCGGCCCAGCCUCACCAUCUCUCUCUCUGCAGCCAAAUUUUUUUUCAUGCUUAUACAAGCGUCAACUUGCAUCGGCGGUUUUUAAAUUAAAUUAUUUCACACAGCGCAUUCAGCAGAGGACUUUGCAGCGCUGUUUCAACUCAUUCACUCGGGAGUGGACUUGUACAAAAUUCCGUCUAAUAAUAAUUAGGGGCGACUCCGGCCAAUUAAUAACACCCCACACUUGCACAGUGGGAGACGACCAGGGGAGCAUCGAUAUUUGGCUUUCUUCCGUUUGAAAAAUCAAGCAAAUCUUCUUCGUUUUUUUUCUUCUUUUUGAAAAGCCAAAAAAGGGGGCAAAUAAUCGUGUAGCGUUCGUGUUUGGUCUUCGUAAUGUGACAAGAUUGGUAGUUCGAUUGGUCCGUCGUUUCUUGCCGUGCAGGGGAGUAGCUUGCCUGCAUGCACGCACGCACGCAGGCUGGUGACCGCACGCAGGCUGGUGACCGGUGAGCGAGGCCGAUCGAUCUCGCGGCGACCGGUGCUGUGUCGGGGCUAAAAUACGAGCAAAAAUGUCAAACCUCGCGCGGUUUCUGUCGGCGCUGUUGCUGCCGUUCGUAGACCGACCAUGCUGUACGCUCGGGGUUUGCUUGCAUACCUCCGUAGACAACUGCACGGGGUAGCUAUCGCGUAUAGCUGCACGGGGCAGAUUCACACGGCGCGGCAGAGACCGGGAGCCCUGACGCCAGGUGUGCGGAUUGGACAGUGUGCCGUGUGCGUGGACAAUGGCAUGCAGUGACACUGAUGGGAGAGGGGGCAACAGAUCGCUGUCCCGGUGAUCGAGGAAACAGCUAUCCUCUGGUGUAUACGUGGAUCUCUUCAUAGCGUCUGUUGGGAUCUUUUUUUGCUUAUCAUUUGACCGAGAGAGGAGGGGGCUGGGAACUCAAAAAUGGCGGUGGUUUUGAAAUGAACAAGUACCAAACAUUUCCGGGAGAAAUUCAAUUACGACUUUCUUGCAGGUGCAUUUUCCAGGGAGCACCAGUUAUUGGGCCACCGGUGUUAUUACUACUCUCAUCCAAAUUUGCUCUUCGUGAUAAAGAGCCUUUGGAGUAAUAUUUAUGGUUUAUUUCGCCUAUAUGUAACCUUUCAAGGCCUAUUGGGGAACAACUUGUAUUUGUCAUGUUUCGCUCUUCAACUAUUUCAUUUUCCUCGUAAGCAUCCGUCAUUUGGCACUAUUGUAGCUUUUGUAUAAAAAACACAUAAAGUCACGCUAAAAAAACAGAUAGUCUAUGUGAACAGAUAGUCUAUGUGAACCAGUAAUUUUAGAGAACCUGGAAAGUACCAAAAUUUGAUACAUGAAGUGUCAAAAUUUGAUGCUUAGCUAUAAUUAUGUGAAUAAGUCAAUUACUCCGAGGUUAUAAAUCACUACGAAUAUAGUGUGGGUUGCCUUUUUUUUUAUCGAAUAUGUAAGAGAAUUGUGCAUCUUUGUAUUAAGAUAGUAGAAUUUUUUCAGUUUGCAAUGCGCAACGCCUUGACGUGCGCACUUUGAACCGUAUUAGUUAUCGUGUGGUUGCCUCUUGGAACAUCAAACAAGAACGUUUUUUGAAACGAGAUCAAACAAGAACAUGGUUUAAACAGUGCAAAUAUGUUCUCCUUCCUAAACACAACCUUUUCUUUGUGUGGUGAUUUGGGGAGGGUAAUUCCAUAUUUGCCACUUUUUAAGUAUCAAAACCCUGCAAAUUUGUUAUUGGCUAUGUCGAUUGCACGUUGAUCUAGGACCCACAUGUAACUGACUCAGCUGAAUUGCUGAAGGUAAACCCAUUGGUUUAUCCCACGUUUUGAACUGGGAUUUCCGCUCGCGUUCAUAAAAACGGAAGUUAAUCUAGGACAAUAGGUGUUCCGAGGCUGCACUGUGCCAACAUUCGCGCAGAAUUUGGCUUGGUUUUCCAUGUGCUCAAAUCAAAACCCACCGAUCCCCACCUGAGUUGAGCAGCUGAUGUGCACCGGGGAGCUGCCCUUUACAUGCAUCCACACCAGCUGCAGCUGGCUCGUAUUUUCUACUCUCGAAUCAGUAGCCUUGCUUUUUUCAAGCCAGGUCCACAUAUCGCGCGGCGAGCGCGUGCCCGGCGAGCUCUCGGCCUCGGUGGUGCGCGUUGCGAGUGCGAGUGCGCUAGCCGGGGCCAGGGGAUGGAGCGAUCCAUGGAGUCAACCAGUCAAACUCCCCUCCCAACCCGUGUACGCGGGCUGAUCGAUCGAUUAAUUAGCCGUAAAUCCCAGUAAUUAAGCGGCCACGCCACCCAAUCGGAAAUGUCUUAAUCCCCCCUGAUUAACCCCAGCACCACCUAAACUUUUGCCUUUAAAAGGGAAAGAAAUCAAAAGGGAUAAACUAAUCUCCCUGGUUGCGGCGUGCUCCCCCACAUGCCUCUUUCUUUCCCAAGUCCACAACCAGCAGCCUACCUCCCCUCCUCCUGGUCGGCUCCGUCUAUAUAAGCCCCCGUUCCCCCUCCUCUCCCGCCCACUUCAUCAUCGCACUCUUCUUCUUCCUUCUCUCCCGCCUUCUCCUCUCGGCAGCAGCUGCCACCUAGCUCUUCAAACUCAAAUCCUACUCCCACACACUGGUCCAGCUCGCCUGCGAGCUCGAGCAGCGAUAUCCUUAUUCAGUUGAUCGAUCCACGAUCAGCGCUGAGAGAGAAAUCAAGCAGGGGAGUGAUCUCGAGAGAGAGAAAGAACCUGAUGGACAUGGCGCACGAGAGAGACGCGAGCAGCGAGGAGGAGGUGAUGGCCGGCGAGCUCCGGCGCGGGCCGUGGACGGUGGAGGAGGACCUCCUGCUGGUCAACUACGUCGCCUCGCACGGCGAGGGCCGCUGGAACUCGCUCGCCCGAUCAGCAGGUGGGAUACAUAUACUCCAUGCCGGAUCAAGUCAUGGAUCGAUUACUUGUCAAAACUUGCAUCUCCAAUUAGUACAGCAGGCACAAUUCAUGGGCUCCAUCACAUCACCCACCGAGCACAACCAGAUGCUCGCCUAUCGCCUCCUCUCCGCGUUGCCGUACAAGCCUGAGGCUUGACAAAGAUGUCACUUUGCAUCUACAUGCUAAUAUGGAAACAGAUAGCUGCCUAGCUAGCUAGGGGCCUAGCUGCCAUCCAGCUAACAAGAACCGCCUACAGUGAGUGAGAAAGGGAGAGAAUUUUUAGUGGUUAGCUUCCCGGCCAUAGGGAUAUUUACUUACUCCCUUCCAUUACAUCAUGCAUCUUGUCAUCACAUACACACUCCCGUGUCUCAUCUGCAUAACAAAUUACUACUGGGCAGCAAUGGCGUGAUGUGACGUGUGGAUGAUUAAUCUUUGUGUGUUCCUGUCAUGCAGGGCUGAAGCGCACCGGCAAGAGCUGCCGCCUACGGUGGCUCAACUACCUCCGCCCCGACCUCCGGCGCGGCAACAUCACGCCGCAGGAGCAGCUGCUCAUCCUCGAGCUGCACUCGCGCUGGGGCAACCGCUGGUCCAAGAUCGCGCAGCAUCUCCCCGGCCGCACCGACAACGAGAUCAAGAACUACUGGCGCACGCGCGUGCAGAAGCACGCCAAGCAGCUCAAGUGCGACGUCAACAGCCAGCAGUUCAAGGACGUCAUGCGCUACCUCUGGAUGCCCCGCCUCGUCGAGCGCAUCCAGGCCGCCGCCGCCGCAGGGGCGCCGCAGCCGCAGACCGGCACCGCGGACACGCCCCUGUCGUCGUCGUGGCAGCACGGCGCCGACGACGGCCUCUACGCGUCGCCCGGCGACGCCUGCUGGCCCGCGGAGUACUACUCAGCCGCCGGCGAUCACCAGCUGUUGAACAACCCCGCCGUCCCGGAGCUGUCGAGCACCACGGCCGGGUCGUCGUCUCCGUCCUCGGACUCCGGCGCGGGGGCACAGACAUGGCUCGCACCCGUGGGUGAAGCGGAGUGGUUCACCACCGCCUGCGACGCCUCCAGCGCCGCCGUGGCCAUGCACGACACCGUCCUGGCCGGUCACCAACAGCAGCAGCAGCCGUGCCUGCUCGGGGAGACGUGGACGUCGUCGGAGCUCCCGGAGCUCGGCGUCGCGGACUUCGAGAUCGGCAGCUUCGACGUGGAGAGCAUCUGGAGCAUGGACGACAACUUGUGGUACACGCAGACGCAGGGCGUGUGAACUGAUGAAGCCAGCACGGCGGCGUGGCGCUCCACGGCAUCGGCGGUGGACACCUGCGUGUUGGAUACGAUCAACCCCCGGGGACGCCCAGAGCAGAGCUAGCUGAGAAACGGAUUAGAAGAAGGAGAGAGAUUAUUUGGAGGAUUAGAAGACGACGACGCGACGAUUAAUCUUUGUUCGGCUCAAGAUUCAGUUCUUGGACCCCUUGCCUUGCCUCCGGGACUAUUCCACUCCAGUUCUACACCGUUUCUUAUUAAUUUUAUUUUCUUGUCUUAAUCCCCUAGCGGCUAGGGUAUAUACGCAAAAAAAAAAGAAAAGGAAAAAAAGCGUAGCUGUUGUAGUGUAAGUGUCAAGUGUUUGUACGUGGCCCGUCUAAUUUUACUCAUUCUUUUUGAGUAAAUACAUAAAUAUAUAUGAAACUGAAGUUACUGAACUAUCUGAAGAUUCUGAAGUGAAAGUUGAUGUACUCCUUUCCGAGGCAACGAAGUUACUGGACUGAUCCAAGAAUUGUACAGCUUCUAGAAGCGGUAACAACAAGCCCACAAAAGCGAACAAAGGUCCCCGACGUCAAGUCCAAGUCGUCUACAAGUACUACUCGAGGGUCCAGCAUACGUACGCGCCCCCGCCAAAUUCUCGCCGCUAAUUGUGAUCCUCAUGCUGCGCGCCUCUCAGCAGUCUGAGUGGCGAUCGAUUAAUUCCCCCCCUUUUUUUCCUUUCGGUUUCUGUUGCAUCGUGGUUGGUUUAGUUAUCAUCAUGAUGAUUAUACCGACGGCGACGGCGACGGCGACUGAGACGAUCCAUUUGUUUAUGCCGACAUGCAUGGAUGUGUGUUUACGCCUGAGAUUGUGAUCAGGGGCGGAGAUCUAUCCAUCUUCCAUCGUCGAGUGAGCCGUCGCGUCAGCGCCAACAGUUGCCGGAUCGAGGUGAGCACAGCUGCAGGCCCGCGGCGUUACACAUGUUGCUCUCGCAACUCGUCAGGGGUAGUGAGAGACGAUGAGCUCGCAGUCGCGGAGCACACUGUCAAGUUAGUAUUAGUAUUAGCAACUAGCGAAGCAGAUUAUUAGUGAGCAGAGCAAAAGGCAAUGAAUUUGAAGUGGAUGCCGAGGAGAUAUGGUUUAAAAUCGCAGCACUAACGACCUGUGCACGCGCAUGUAUGCUCAACGAUGCCGAGCGUGUUACUGCUGCAGCAAUAACAGCAACCAACAACGAUGCGAACACGGAACACUUGCAUGCAGCUGCGGUGCGGGGCCCCGCUCCUCUCGUCGUUGGGAUGAUCGAAUGAUGGAUAGGAAAAGCGCACAAGUAAAAAGAGGCGGGGCAUGGCCCCGCCCCCCGGGCAUUGUAUCUUCGGCUUCGAUAUCUCUUUCAGAGCCAAAGAGAGGGAGAGGGGGCCAGCACCCAGCAGCACCCAGGAGCCAGCCACGUUUUUCUACCUCCCCGGGGCCUAUUUUCACACCGUAUUUUGAUUUUUUCCGUCCUUUUCCGAGGAGAAACAAAAGAAGAAAAACGUCGUAAAGGCGGCGUCGCCUGGGGGAAAAGCGCUCCCCGCGCGAUUGUCGUGCCCCGGCCGACCUGAGCCGAGCUCGAUCUCCCUCCACUCGCAACUGUCAGCUCAGAGCUCAGUUCUCGUCCACGAUUUCCGCCGAUAUUUUGCCCUGCUCCAGUGCUCCUUGAUGCCGUUAAGGAGGCAGCGGAGCACUACGGUGUCGCGGCAGGGAAGACUCGGUGCUGCGGCGUACUACGUAUUUACGCCGGUGCGGUGGAUAGAUACGGGGACCCGCGCCGCCGCCGCCGCCGCCGCGGCGAUGAUGGAUAUAUCAGCUGGCGAGCACGACGACGAGGCGGACGACGCGGCGGUGGGGCGGGCCCUCGCGCGAAGCGAGCCACGUCGGUCACGCACGACGGGCGACGGGUCAAGCAGCCAGCAAGCGCCCGCGGGGGGGCCGAGGCGAGGGCGGACCGAGAAGGCCAACUGGGCAACUGGCCCAGCCGUCGUGUGAACGGGUCAACGGCGCCCCUCGGUGGAGACCUGGAGCGGACUCGCGCAAGACCCUCGUGCCGAUAUGCAUGGCGCCCUUUUCUUGUUGCGCUCUUUCACACCCGGCGCGUGGCGGGGGGGUUUUCCCGGGUUCCUACUGGCCGGGCCGCCCUCGCUUCGUCCGGGUCUCUCGUGGACGCCAACAUCGGUCGCCAAGUGCUCCUGUUCCGCUUCCGCCCGGUGGCUGGGAUGGCUGCCGCAAGUGGUGCUCGUCGGCUGAACCAGCUGAACUACGCAGCUGUAGCACUUGCACUUGCACUACCUGUGCACUGUGUACUGUACAUCUUCUGGUGAGGACUUUUAACGGUGCUUGCUAAUACUUUCAGUGCAAGGAGAUUACUGUGACGUAUGCACGCACUACGCAGCUGUAGCACUUGCACUUGCACUACGUGUGCCCUGUGUACUGUACAUCUUCUGGUGAGGACUUUUGACGGUGCUUGCUAAUGCUUUCAGUGCAGGGAGAUUACUGUGACGUAUGCACGCUUUGUAACAUUCGGUUAUCUUACCCGCUUGCUUUAAUUUGGUCCUUAUAUUAUGCGUCCAACAGGAUCGUCUUUAAGACGACUGUUGCGUACUACUAGCUCAACAAGUCUGUCCCCGCCUUGACUCUCUAGCUAAUGAACAAGAGUCUGGUUCCCACUUAUCGCUGCCACUGCUCGAUCAAGUGGCCAUGUUAGAUCUGCGGUUGAUUUCUGCGACAAAUUAACUUGAUUGUCACAGAUGUAAAACAAAAUAAAAUAAAUCAGGGAUCAGACCCGUGAUCUCUGUUGGUUGCGAGAACGAGCCAGGAGCCACAAUUAAGUAUCUAACCGAGAUCGCGCCACUCAAUUGCGUCCACAAACUCUGAAAACUGCUGGCAUUAACACUAGCUACCUGAUUGGGCGAUCAAGUAGUUGGUGGGGUUGCAGAGGUGAUUCCUCUGGACUGGGAAGGACGCCUCUGUCAGGGGCAAAUGUGCGGUGGCGUGGCCUACUGUUGCUCGUCCGACAAUAUACGGUGCUAUAGGCGUUAUGGACAUCAAAUUGGCAGGAUUUGCCUUGCGCGCGCUGGCUUUGGCUCCAAAGAACCGACACUGACAGAGCAUGGGCAGAGUUAGACAUGGCGGUGGAACCUCAGGUCAAAGCACUGUUUGAUGCUUCGGUUACAAUCCAGAUAGGCAAUUGGAUUGAGGGAUCAUCGGUGGCUCAAUUAGCCACAACUCUGUAUGAGGCGGUACCACGAAGGACGAGGCGUCAGCAAACAGUCGAGUAGGGCCUGUUGAAUCGACGCUGGAUACGGGCAAUUCAGGGAUCCCUAUCCGUCCAGGCAAUAGUUGAAUGGCUAUGGGAGCGGAUUUCUGAUCAACACUUAACAGAUGAAGAGGAUGUCUUCAUUUGGAAAUGGACGGCUAACGGGCAAUUCUCAUCAAAAUCGGCCUAUGAGGCUUUACACCAGGGAAGUGUCCGGUUUCUAGGAGCGAGACGUAUCGGGAAAUCAUGGGCUCCUCCAAAGGUAAAAUUCUUCAUUUGGCUGGCUUCAAGGUGGCGGUUAUGGACGGCGGACAGGCGUCAUCGUCACGGCCUUGAUGCAACGGAUGAAUGUUGGUUUUGCGAUCAGGAGAGGGAGACAGCUGACCACAUUCUGGUAAACUGUUACUUUGCGAAAGAAAUCUGGUGGGGAGUCCUCAACUCCUGCCGCUGUGUCUGUUCCUUUCCAAGAGCCAUGCAUCUGCAGGAAUGGUGGGACUUCCUGCGUCAUCGACAGCAGCAGAAUAGGAAAAGAGGAUUCGAUCCCUUGUUCAUGCUCACAACCUAGCACAUAUAGAAAGAGAGAAACACAAGGUUGUUCAGAGGUGAAAGCAGGACAACAAACCAGGUUGUUGGGGUGGUGCUACAGGAAGCGGCACUAUGGGAGCCUCUCGCAUUGGUAGUCUAUACACGAGUAAUCAUCAUAACUGCUUGCGCCCUUUCUUGUUUCGGUUGUCAUAUGGUUUUAUGUAAUAAUGUCUUUUAGAGCUCUAAUUUCAGGCGUUUGCAUUCCGUGCAACGCGUUGUAACCCAUGCUUGUAACAUAAACCCUCUUCUGCUUAAUACAAAGAUGCGCAGAACUUUUGCGUAUUCAAGAAAAACCUUGGCUAGUACUAUGGGAUUGGAUAAAAAACUGCAUUAGCAAACAACUAAUGAUAGGUUCGCUUCAGGAGUAGUAACUGAAAGUCCCCUCUUCGUUCCUGAACGCAGGAUUUUGAUUGGCUUAUGGUGGCAUCAGUGGUAAAUGCACUUUGGUCACUAGGCAACCUACUGUGAUGUGAAUGGUAAUGACAUCAGAAAGCAGAAAAAGCGCAUGCAUGCACCAGAUAUUAAUCCGCGCUACCGGAUUAAUUAAAAAGAUCGAUCAAAUUUUCAGCCGUUCCAAUCAUGCGAAGCACUAAACAAAGAACGCGCAUGAUAUUAUCUGUCUAAUCGCUAUCAACUCGGCGCCAAAUAUUUUUACGAGAUCGAAUCCGCUGCUGCUGGCUAAUUAAACUGAGACCGCGCCGGGCCUAGCUCUCUACUAGUAGCUGGCCGGCCGGUAUGUGUGUGUUGUGUGUGUGAACCUCCGUGUCAAAUAGGGCUAGUGUUUCCGCACCAUACAUUUCGCCAUCAUCUAGAUCUGAUCUCUCCCAUUCAGGCCCUGGGUUUCUAGCCGGUUUCAUAGCGUCACGGCCGGCUGGCUGGCUCAGGGCCGGGCGUGGCCAUCGCUCCACCAGCAGAAAAGCGGAGGCACUGCCGGCCGGCUUGUCAACGAAAAGAGGUCUUCCUCUCCCCGCUCAAACUGAAAGACUUGCGGAAAGCGCAGGAGAAAAGUCCAAGGCUUGUCCGCAGCGGAUCGAUCGGUGCCGAUGCAAGUCGCUGUGAGGUUGUGAAAUCGACAAUUCAUGGGAGCAAGUUGCGGGUCGCGGAUCUCUCCUGAUCACGAAUUUUCUCUUGGCCCUGCGGCACGCGAGCGAUCGCGAUCCGAGGUCAAACCGACACGUUGGACUCGGGUCUUAUACAAACUUACCUUAAACUCGCCUUAUGGGUGUAUUAUCCACUAUCCAGAUAUGUUCGUGGGUGGCACGAAAUUCUUAUUGGUGACAGGUUACAUACUUAUGGAUAUUUUUUCUUAAAAAAAAGGCACUAUCGGAUAAGCUAAAUAUAUAGUGGUGUGAAACGGAUAUUUGCACAUUAUUGAGAACCAGCCCCCGCGUCGCUCUCCUCCCAGGGGCGACACGAGCUCUCCUCCCAGGGGCGACAUGAGCGGCACCCAACUCGCCGCCGCCGCCGCCCCUCCCAUCUUCGUCCACGCCUCGCCGCCGCCUGAGCGCGACUUCGGGAGCCCGCGUCCCUGCUAGGAAGGUGGCGGGGUCAUUUCUCCACGUUAGGUCUUGGCCAGCUUGGAUCUGGGAGCCGAAGGUUCGAGACGGUGCGCGAGCGCAGAGGGGCGACGGCCUGGCGGCGGAUGCGAACGGCGACGCGAGGAACUAGGGCCGGCAGUUCACGGGCGUGGGCGGGGCCGUGCCCGCCCCGAUCAACGACACGGCGGCGCCGGGCAUGGAGCCGCCGCCGGUGCCCUGGGACAGCAGAUCCGGGGUCUGGUGGACCGGAUCCAGCGCCCCUAGGGCUAGAUCCGUGCGGUGCUGCUGCCGGCGGUGCUGGCUAUAGGCCGAACGCGUGGGGGGCUCGGCGAGGAAGGUGGCACUCCGGCAGCUCCGCGGCGGAAACGUGUCUGCGGCGGCCGCUGCGUAUGCCCACGCGGAGCGGCAACGACGGGCUCGCGCAGGGUGGCCGCAAAGGUGGACGGGCAGAGGGCCGGUGCUAGCGGUUGUGAGGUGGCUUGGGGCGGGUUGUGGAGGCCAAGUGGCGGCGCCCGGCGCGGUGCCAAGGCCGCGCGACGAUGGCCCACGGUGAGGCAAGGAGGUUGCGCCGGUAGUGGCGGGGCGUUUCGCCGCGGUGUGAGGAGGUCACGCGGCGGCGGCGGCGCACGCGGUGGAGAGAUAGCGUGGCAGUGGCCACGGGUGAGGAGACACGUGUGAUGGUCAGGGGGUGCGACAGUGGCCGAGUGCGAGGAACGGAGGCCGAGUGGGGGCGCAUCUGGGCGGCGAGCGCAGCAGAGGUGGAGGUACGAUGAUGUGGCGCGUGGAGGCGCGACGGUGGCGCCACCCCAGAUGGGCUACCAUGGCUGUGGUUCUAGAGUGCCAAGCCGUGAGCGUGCAGCGAGGGGCUGGGAUGCUCCGGGCGAAAGCCCUCGCCGACGUUCUUGCUGGUGGAGAUGACGGUGGCGCCCUGGGGCGUAGUUUUUCCCGUUGGGGGCGUUAUGCUAGAGCUACAACCUUGCUGCACAGGGUUCUCUAGGUGAAAACACUGUCCAGAUUCUGGACGAGCGACGGCGGCGCCAUUAGCGUCGUGCUCUUCUUGCAGGCGUCGUCUCUAGGGACCCAACGCGGUUUGUGGCAUUGCUGGCCCAUUGGUCAUGGGCGGCCGCAUCCAGUGGCGGCAAUUACGCCGCGUGGCAAGCUGGACGGGUGUUGUCGAGCCUACAUGGAGGCGAUCACAGUUAUGGUGGUGGCCAGGAGUUGUCGCAUGGUUGUCGAAUUUGGCUGCUUGCAGCGGACCGCGGCGGCUGGCGUUACUUGGCAACAAUCAUUGCGCCGUGGGACUAUGUCGGAGGACGGCGUUGCGGCAACGGCAUCGUGAGACGACUAGGCUUGCAGCGGAUCACGGCGGGUGGCUCGGCUUGGCUGGGCUAUCCAGUGCGCUACAUCGUUGAAAGACGGCACAAACGACUUCUUUGGCUUGCUGACACGGCGGCGGAGGCUAUGUGAAUGGGUGAAGCAACGAGGUGAAGUCGACCUGCGGCGGCGGCUUGGCUGAUCGAUGGAAAUCGAUGGAAAUCUUGGGGAGCAGGGCAACAUUGCUCACCACUCUGACGGCGAUAAAAGAAACGGAUCUGUGACGUGGAGUGCUGUGGCGGGCGUAGCGAGUCCCCCGCGCAUGGUGUUUCUUCGAGGCGACGCGAGUGAGGUGGAGUCCAAUGGCGGAUGUGGCGAGGCUCCCGUGCGUUGUGUUAUUGUGGUGGCGACUACAAGGCAGCGUGCGAGAAGUCCAGAUUCCAUCAGGUGGAGUGUGGUGUUGCAGCGGCACUACGGCGGAGGGUCCCGCAUGGCGGUGGACUUCUCAAUGCGGUGCAUGUCGACGCAGGUCACACCUCGAGGUUUUAGCGACUACAUGAGUGAGGAUGUUGGUGGGUGCCGCGGUAAGGCUUCGAUUCUGCUGCCGUUGUUGGGCGGAGUAAUAUCCGCUUGAGAAGUGUUGAGUUCGGUGCGUGUUGAUGUUCCAAUCCAACUGACCGAUGUGUUGUUUAGUUGAGUUGAGUGCGAUGGCGUGGUGUGGCAUGUGUCGAUGACCCAAUCCAACCUGCCGGUAUUUGUAUUAUUUUUUUCCUUUGUUGUUUUCGUACAAUCUGAAUUUAAUUUAUUUUUUUUAAUAUAAUCGGCGGCUAUCUCGUAAAAAGAAAUAUAUAGUGGUGUUCAGUCUUCACUAAGUACGUAGUAUUUCCCAUGUGGUUGGUAUGCUCUAUACUUUCAGUGAUCAUACUGCAGAUAUCACUUCAUCUUUUUAACUUUCUUCUAAAUUUCUCAAAGAAGACAGAAGAUGGUACUGAAAUGUGUUUUACUAGUAAGACAGAAAUACAGUGCACUAAUCACGCUAAUCAAUGGUCGUAAUGAUAAGUAUACCAGCAAGUACAUACUAUAUAGACCUACUAGUUAAUUGAGGCAGUUCAGCAAAAUUCAGGGGCCUGUGGACUAAGAUCAGGAUGAGCUCGCAGACAUGGGUGACACGCGCGGCAGUCAGUACGUACAGGUUUCCUCUCUAUCGACACGGUCAAUUGUACAUACGCUGCGUACCGCACAUGCAUGCCAUGUGACGGACCACUGCAUUCUUCGUGAUCCACUGAUCCCCCUCGCGCAUUGUGUCGUAUCCGCAACUCGUCUGCUCCCCGUGAUCAAAGCUGCCGACUCCAGCGGCACCCGCACAUUUCGAAGGCAGCUUCGAAGCAACUUCCCGGGCCACGAGCUGAGAUAUCUCGGUUCGGCUGGGUUCCAUAAGCACUGUGUGGCGCUUGAAGUCACGGGCUUGACAAGCUCAGCCACUAGCUUUCCCAGUCUCAGCUCGUCCCACCAGUUUCUUCCCCGCUUUCCACCGCGAUUUGCAAUUCAGGCGCCGCGCACAGUCGCCGCGAACGAACCAACCAUGCAGAUCCUACCUGCCUCAUCCACAUCCAGUCAUCCUGCAUUGCAUGCUUGCUUUAGUUUUUGGCACCGAGAUACACAUGUGCUCGCGAUCGAGGACGACUAGCUUAGCUUCGGCAGUUGGCACCGGGCAUUAGCGGCGGCGACCCUUGCGAAGCUUGCGUGAUGCAUCGUCAGUCGAAGGCCGCUGGCAACUUGCCGCGCGCCCGGGCUUCGGUCAGCGGAUCGACGACCCCUGCCACUCGAGUAUACAAGUAUCCCAGCCUCCAAGGCACGCCCAAGAUCAUGCAUGUGUGCCACACUAUGAGGGUGUUUGGAUACUAGGUGCUAAACUUUAGCAGUGUCACAUCGGAUGUUCGAAUGCUAAUUAGAAGGAUUAAACAUGAGCUAAUUAUAAAGCUAAUUGCAGAACCCCUAUGCUAUUUCGCGAGACGAAUCUAUUAAGCCUAAUUAAUCCAUCAUUAGCAAAUGGUUACUGUAGCACUACAUUGUCAAAUCAUGGACUAAUUAGGUUUAAUAGAUUCGUCUCGCGAAUUAGACUCCAUCUGUGUAAUUAGUUUUGUAAUUAGCCUAUGUUUAAUACUCCUAAUUAGCAUCCAAACAUCCGAUGUGACAUGUGCUAAACUUUAGCAUGGGGUAUCCAAACACCCCCUAUGAUGAAAAUUGAAAAUGCAUUGCAGAUGCUGCAUUUGCUGUAUUAGCGGUGAUCGUAGAAAGUUACCGUACCAUCAAGGUGAUCUUGCAUGUCACUCUUUUUUCUGCUUUUGAGCGAGCAUUUGUACAUCACUUCGCUUUAAAGACAUGUUUGUUUGAACUGCAAAUUUUGAGAUUUUUUGAGAAGUUGAUGCUGGGUUUUUUUUCAUGAAAAGUCAACAUUAAUUUUUAGAAGAUGUGUUUAGUUUUCUAAACUAAAAAAUCUACGAAAAACUUAUAAAUUGAGUUUUCCAGAUUACCAUACAAACUCAGCUUUUUCGAGCUCCCAGAUUUUCAGAAACCGCACAAAAUAUUCAUAGCUUUUCACGCUGAGGAGUGGGAACUGGAAAGUGACGGUAGAAAGUCGCCGCCGCCGCGGGUUAUGGAGUCACAAGCAAGGGUCACUCACAAGUGAUUUCUGCCCAAGACGGCCCAGUAGCGGCCUAGCGGUGUGUUGAAACUCGAGAGUUUGGAUGGGUUGGGCCUGGCAAAAAGGCGUUACGGAUUAAUUUGUUUUACUCCAUCGCGCGUGCUUUGAAGGCCCCGCCCACAGCAGCCUAGGAACGGUGGGCUGUGGGCAGUGCUGCAGUACCACCACAGUUGUCACAAGGAAUCCUUGUCACAAACCCUGCAUAAUAGGCCCACCUACCUUAUCUGAGCCUGUUAGUGCAGUACAAAUAGACACACUCACACUACUGAUUUUUUUCUUCUUAUCUUUUUGCUGAAGUCUUGCCGUUCUGAGUAAACAACCCCUGGACACGCAAUUUGUGACUUGUAAGACAGGAGAGUGUGGACAAUUACAAUCAAGGUCUGCGUUUGCCAUGACAAAGGAUCUGUUCGUUUUAGCUUAUAAGCCGGCUGAAAUGUUGAAACGGCUGAUCUGUUGUGAGAGAAAAAUAUUGUUUGGUGGCUGAUAAGCUAGCUGAAUAUAGCGUAAGCUACAAGCACUUUUAUUUUUUAACACCAGCUAUGCACUUUCUGGUCGGCAAUUCCAACGCGAAUUCCCUUCUCCUUCCCAAACGGGCAAAAAAAUCUCCUCCACGUGAAUCACCCGCCACAUCUCCCCUCGGCCUUUCCAAAGGUAAUUUACCGCCACGAACGUGGCACGCUCUGCGCCAUACGAUGCCACAGCAUGUCUAUAUUUUGCACUUUCCCAAACCAAAAACUACCUUAUCUGUCGUUAACGAGUUAAUCCCCUUCCAACUGCUGUUACUAAUUUCUACUACGGCUUUGAGCCCGCGAUCGAAUCGAGCCGGCCUCAAUCAAUCAAUUUCCUUCCCGUCCCUUCCUUCUUCGUCCCAAAAUUCUCCAAUCCCGAACCCGAUCGCAGCGGAAACCAACCUUUCUUCCUCCGCAAUCCAAAACCGGACGGGCGCCGACGCCGGCUCCAAUGGCGGCCGCCGCCAUCUCCCACCUCCGCCGCGGCGCGCAGCGCCACGCGCUGCUAUGCCUCUCGCUCCCGCGCCGCCGCUUCUCCUCCACCGCGGCCUCCCCGCUCGCGGCGGCCGCGCGCCGCCUCCUCUCCACGACGGUGGACGCCGGCGCGUCCUCGUCGGGGGAGCACUACAAGCCGCCGCCCUUCGAACCCUUCCGUGCCGCCACCCUGACGCCCUCGGCGCCGCCGCUGGAGUCGCCCCCGAUCGAGGAUGAGCCCCCGAGCAGCCCGCCGCCGCCGGAGGAGGCCGCCGCGUCCGAGGCGGCGCACGAGCAGGCGACGCUGGCGUGCCAGGAGGUGGAACUCGAGGGACUCAAGGCGGGGGUGGAGGCGGUGAAGAGCAGGGAGGAGUCGCCGGAGGAGAAGGAGGCGUGGUGGCUGCUCGGACGCGCGGUCGUCAACUACUGCGGCAGUGCCGUGGGGACGGUGGCCGCGAACGACCCGUCCACCAGCCAGAUGCUCAAUUACGACCAGGUGUUCAUCAGGGACUUCGUGCCAUCGGCCAUCGCCUUCCUCCUGAAGGGUGAGAGCGAUAUUGUGAAGAACUUCCUGCUCCACACCUUGCAGCUCCAGGUGAGUCAUGCGAAACCUGAAUGAUCUGGCUGGAAUAAUGGGUGGUACUUCAUUCCUGGUGUAGUGGUAUGCUGUCCAUGUUUAAACCAAAAUGUAGUUGAGGUGAAGUUAUUGGUGUCCAAUUGUCCAGGAUUAUUUGCUAGAAUAACCAAAAUAGUCUGAAACUUUCAGUCUCUGGAGAACAAUCAUUCAUUUUAGUCCUACAGUCUCUUGGAUUUAGACCCUCUACCUUCAAAUUGAAUAGUUGAAGACACCAGAGUAUUUGGACUUGUGUGAUUGAGUAGGUGAAAAGUUUCCAGAGCAAUUCCCACCUUGGUCUAGUCCCACAAUAUUGUAAAAUGCUGAAAUACUGUUUCAGUUGAAAGAUGGCAUGAAUUCCUCGUUGUGGCCUUUCCAGUGGCUGCCAAGAGGUUUCAAAUGCUGAGUCUAGAUUACUGAAAAUACAGUGUGCCUUCAAUUGAUCUUAUUGUAUUUGCUCAGACCUCAGAACUCUGUUAGUAGGAUUGCUGCACACUCGUUCACUUUAGAUCCUUACAAUUUUUAGGGAUUUGAAUGUCUUAAUACUUUUGGCAUUUUCUACUAAUGCGUGUGUAUGUGUUUUACCAAGCUGAAGUAAGGGCACUUUCUAUGACAAAAUCCAUUCGAUUCAUAACAUAUGCCUCCAGUAUAUGAUCUUAUAUUGUUACAGUUGCUUCAAUAUCAUUUUUUUCCUCUAAACUUAGUUUGACAGCUGUUCAUGAUUCUUUCGGACUAAGCUAAUUUGAGCUAACUAUUUUGGUUUUCUCUGUAUCUUUUUUUUAUGUUUUUUGGCAUUGAAUUAUUAAGGUUACCCUGUGUCACUAUUCUUGCCCUUGUGCUCAGGUGUGAGGUUUGUGUGAACAGUUGAACUAAUUUAUAACACAGAGUUUUUAGUGAUAUUACAAAAAAGCUGGACCGCUUUGGGCCUUUUGCAUCAGUUAUGAACUUUAAGUUUGUAUUCAUAUGUAGUGCAUAGGAAAACAUCACAGGGCUAACUGCAAAAUAUGAUGUUUUCAGAGUAGCCCACAUUGUGAACCAUAGAAGCAGUCUUAUGUCGGUAUCACCUGCCAUAAGUGGUACUACUUAGAAAGAUUGUAUAUCAGUUUACCAUUAAGUGAUGGUCAUCUUUGAGGUUUCUGUUUCAUUCCAUUAGCUAAGUUAUUUCCUCCAUUGCAAAACCAACAUUAUCAUAUGAAUAUUGAUGCCUGUUGAUUAUUUGGAAUUGAUAGAAGAUGUAAUCACGCAAUAAUGGAUCGUAUUCGACUGAGGACUCAGGUUACAGUAUAUAGGACCCGAUCAAGGCUAUCUCAACCACCUGGACUUAUAGAAACAAAAUCACGGGGGAGAUGCUGAUCAGGGCCACGCAUGUGGCCGCGCCAACCAGGCUAUUGCUGUGACGCAGGGGCAAGCCAGGCUACAGCCGUGGCGCCCAAGAUAGGAGAGAGAAGGGACUUGCUAACAAGAAUUAUGCAUGGAUGCCAGGAAGAAUAGUUAGUGUUCAAGGAAAGAUAUUAGAGAAAAAGGCGGAAUCUCCCUGAUAUAGUUGUAUCACAUGGUAUGCCUGAUGCUUCAGGGACUUGAAUUGUGUUGAAAGCAGUUUAGUAGUACUAUAUGUACUUGGUUUUAACUAAGAUUACUGAUAAUUGAGAUGUGUAGUAACCGCUAUGUUCUCUAUGGGAUAUACAAUAAAUGUUUUCUCAUCAAAAGAAGUCUUUCAUCAUUCUGGCACUUCAUCCUCCCAAGUGUGCAUGGGAUGAGAGUACAACUGUACCUGCAAAAAAAAAAAUCAAAACCCUGUAAAAUAGUGCUAUAUAUAAACAAGAAACACAGAGAUAUAUACAAUUCCUUUGCUUGAUCAACUGAGCAGUCUGAUAGCUCAUCAACCCAAUUCUGAUCCAUUGAUCCCUCAUACCAUUUACCUCACCCAACCCACCAAUGGAGCAACAUAUCCAGCCUUGUGAUGCCAUGUCCCCAUCAAUUUGUUGAGUACUUGAGUCUUUGCAUUAGCUGCAUCCUGUGAAAUGGUGUUGGGGUUGACGAUGUCAUCAAAUUGUCUAGUAUAGUAUUAUCUUAUGAUGUCUACAAGACUAUUACAUUGUCUACUAGAUGCCUGGUUCGACUGGGUGACUUUGUAUUCAUGAUGCUCAUUGCUUGGAUAAACACAUUUCCUCCCAAUUCAUAUGGAUUGGAGUGGAAAAAUAAACUAAAUUUCCACCUCAAUCCCUCCCAAUACGUAUGGAUUGGAGGGCAUUAGUAUGUAUCCAAACAAGGCCUUAAUUUUGUACAAUAUCGAUUCCCAAAUAAUAGUCAUUUUUAUCCUAAUCCCAUUUCACAAAAAUACUUGGUACUUUAUGAUUCCCAAUGCAAACCUGCUGACUGAGCCAUCUAUAUAUCUUUUUACCUUUUUAUGUGUGCUUCAGAUAUUAUCGAGUGGUAUUUUGGUCAAAUUUUUAUCUAAAAUAUGUUUGAUUAUGCACGUUUUUUCAGAACUGUCUAUUGUUUGAAAAUGAAGGGGUAACUUGAAUUUUUCUGCUGGAAUGUUUAACUUGAC